CCUACGGGUGGCAGCAGUGAGGAAUAUUGGUCAAUGGCCGAGAGUCUGAACCAGCCAAGUCGCGUGAAGGAUGACUGUCCUAUGGGUUGUAAACCUCUUUUAUCUGGGAACAAAGUGAUCCACGUGUGGGCUUUUGUAUGUACCAGAUGAAAAAGGAUCGGCUAACUCCGUGCCAGCAGCCGCGGUAAUACGGAGGAUGCGAGCGUUAUCCGGAUUUAUUGGGGUUAAAGGGGUCGUAGGCGGAAUGUCAAGUCAGUGGUAAAAUUUUGGGGCUCAACCUCACUCUGCCGUUGAAACUGGCGGUGUUGAGUGGGAGAGAAGUAUGCGGAAUGCGUGGUGUAGCGGUGAAAUGCAUAGAUAUCACGCAGAACUCCGAUUGCGAAGGCAGCAUACCGGCGCCCAACUGACGCUGAGGCACGAAAGCGUGGGUAUCGAACAGGAGUAGAUACCCGGGUAGUC
rnacentral:rRNA from 1 species